rnacentral:rRNA from 1 species
UAGUCCACGCCAUAAACGCUGAGUGCUGGGUGUUGGGGGUCAAACCUCGGUGCCGACGUUAACACAUUAAGCACUCCACCUGGGGAGUACGCACGCAAGUGUGAAACUCAAAGGAAUUGACGGGGACCCGCACAAGUAGCGGAGCAUGUGGUUUAAUUCGACGCAACGCGAAGAACCUUACCAAGGCUUGACAUCAUGAUGACCGGUCUAGAGAUAAGUUCCAAGGACUUCGGUCCACUGAAAA